AAGUCGUAACAAGGUUUCCGUAGGUGAACCUGCGGAAGGAUCAUUAUCGUGGGGCUUCGGCCCUCUCGAGAUAACACCCUUGCCUUUUUGAGUACCUUUUCGUUUCCUCGGCAGGCACGCCUGCCAACGGGGACCCUUCAAAACGCUUUGUAAUACCUGUCAUUGUCUGAUAUAACAAGCAAAAAUCAAAACUUUCAACAACGGAUCUCUUGGUUCUG
rnacentral:misc_RNA from 1 species